UCGGAUUCAACAGUUCAUAACAGAACAAAAUUAACAUAAACAACAGUUCAAUUCAACAUAGUUCUAAUUCUUGUGAACAUCAGUCCUAAAUCCACAUAGUUCUUGGUCAUCUCGAUAGUUCUAAUUCUUAUGAACAUAGUUCUCGAACAUCAGUCCUAAUCGACAUACACAUAGUUAAUAAUUAUAAUUCAACAAGAAGAGGAAAGCUGCAAAUCCUAAUUCUUGUGAUAGAAUCCAUUACAUAAGCAAAACACAAUUUUCAUAACAAAACAAAAUUAACUGAAAUCUCAAAUAGAUGUCUAAUGAACUGAAAUCCUCAACCAGAAUUCUUUAAUAGACUACACAAAAGAGUUCCAAGUUCCAACUCUAUGGCCAUCGCAUUCAAUCCUGAUUCCUGGCACGCUUUCAAGUUCUGCAACACUGCACUUGUCAAAAAUGAGAGGAUCAGUAAAUCACAGCCCUAAGUAAAUGAGAGAAACAGUGGUACAAGCAAUUUCCACGUAGCAGCCUAAUGCAUCAGCCUAAUACUUGACAGAACAUUUCUCAAACUUCAAACACACUACAAUUGUACAACAGAACAAAGUAUGCAAGCAUGUUGCAAUAUCCUUUCCAACAGAACAAAGUAUCAAUUUGGAAGAAAUACCUUAGCAAAUGACAUAUUAGCAAAUGCCUCUUUUGGCUACUCUUGCUCUAGCAUUUCAAACACUUGGUGUGGUAUAUGGUGAUACGGGCACAAGCCCUUUAUAUGUUUUCUCAGAUGUAUUCAGCAAAGUCCACAUAUUACCAUACAAAUAGGAAAGUAGCAUAUACAUUUUUUUGGAUAAUAUUCUCAUAUUACCAUACAAAGAUUUCGCAAAUGAAACAAAUCAAAGUAAUUCCUUCAAGUAAACAUAAAUGGUUAGUAAUCUGCCACCAAAAGCUUACAAGAGCACCACUUUCACCACAUUUUACAAGAGCUUGAACUUUAUUCACCAUCUCUACCUCAUCUUCCAUCUACGAAACAAAACAAAAAAUUAAAAGUAAAAUCAAAUUCAAAAUAGUAGUAGUAUGGUCUAUUUCUGUUUAAGAAAGUCAAGAGUGAAACCCCCAAUUUAUUUCAUCAAUUUUAUCCAAGAAAUAAAAGAGAACAAACACUUCCUUUAAGCUCUAAGAAAGGGGGAGAAAGAGAGAGAGAACAAGAAAGAAGGAGUGAGUCUUAGUGUCUUACCAGUGCAGCCGCCAGUCGCCGGAAUACAGAGAAGAGAUAGAGGAAGUGACGAGCAUGAGCAUCUUGAGGCGUGAAGUGAGCAGCAGUCUCUGGGUGUGGGUGGAGUCUGAGUCUCAGAUAAGGCUGUGACUUGUGAGAAAAGAACGAGAAUGAAAUAAGACCUAACCCUAAAAAUAAAAUUAGUAUUUAUACUUCCCCUAAUAAAUUCGGAUUUCGGAUCAGAUCGAGUUCAAACUAUACAAAUCCGAAUCCAAUCCGAAAAUCCGAAAUUUUAAUAAAUAAUAAAUCAAAUCCGAAUCCGAUCCAAAUAUCCGAAAUCCGAAAUUGAGCGGAUCGGUUCGAAUUUCGGAUAUCCGAUCCAAAUGCACAGCCCUAGUGUCCUUGAUCGCU
rnacentral:lncRNA from 1 species